CUUGUACUCCAUCCGUCCGGAAAUACUUGUCAUUGAAAUGGAUGUAUCUAGAUGUAUUUUAGUUCUAGACACAUCCAUUUUGAUGACAAGUAAUUCCGGACGGAGGGGGUACUUG
rnacentral:pre_miRNA from 1 species